rnacentral:rRNA from 1 species
UACGAAGGGGGCUAGCGUUGCUCGGAAUCACUGGGCGUAAAGCGCACGUAGGCGGACCUGCAAGUCGGGGGUGAAAGCCCGAGGCUCAACCUCGGAACUGCCUUCGAUACUGCGGGUCUCGAGUCCGGGAGAGGUGAGUGGAAUUCCUAGUGUAGAGGUGAAAUUCGUAGAUAUUAGGAAGAACACCAGUGGCGAAGGCGGCUCAGCUGGCCCGGUACUGACGCUGAGGCGACGAAAGCGUGGGGAGCGAACAGG